CCUGUGAGGGGAGUGAAAUAGAACCUGAAACCGUGUACGUACAAGCAGUGGGACCCACUUUGUUGGGUGACUGCGUACCUUUUGUAUAAUGGGUCAGCGACUUACUUUUAGUAGCAAGGUUAACCGUAUAGGGGAGCCGUAGGGAAACCGAGUCUUAACUGGGCGUUGCAGUUGCUAGGAGUAGACCCGAAACCGAGUGAUCUAGCCAUGGGCAGGUUGAAGAUUGAGUAACAUCAAUUGGAGGACCGAAC
rnacentral:rRNA from 1 species